GGCUCGAUGGUGUAGUUGGUUAUCACGUUCGCCUCACAAGUCUCCAUGCUUGCUGUUGUUACGCGAAAGGUCCCGAGUUCGAGCCUCGGUUGAGUCA